rnacentral:rRNA from 1 species
UCCGGAGGGGGCAAGCGUUAUUCGGAAUUAUUGGGCGUAAAGGGCGCGUAGGCGGCUAGAUGUGUCAAAGGUGAAAUCCCUCGGCUCAACUGAGGAACUGCCUUUGAAACUGUCUGGCUUGAGGCCGGGAGAGGGUAGCGGAAUUCCCAGUGUAGCGGUGAAAUGCGUAGAUAUUGGGAGGAACACCAGUGGCGAAGGCGGCUACCUGGACCGGUUCUGACGCUGAGGCGCGAAAGCGUGGGUAGCAAACAGG